AUUCCCCUAGUAACGGCGAGUGAACCGGGAAGAGCUCAAAUUUGAAAUCUGGCGUCCUCAGGGCGUCCGAGUUGUAAUCUAUAGAGGCGUUUUCCGUGCCGGACCGUGUCCAAGUUCCUUGGAACAGGAUAUCAAAGAGGGUGACAAUCCCGUACUUGACACGACGACCGGUGCUCUGUGAUACGUCUUCUACGAGUCGAGUUGUUUGGGAAUGCAGCUCAAAAUGGGUGGUGAGUUCCAUCUAAAGCUAAAUAUUGGCGAGAGACCGAUAGCGAACAAGUACCGUGAGGGAAAGAUGAAAAGCACUUUGGAAAGAGAGUUAAACAGUACGUGAAAUUGUUGAAAGGGAAACGAUUGAAGUCAGUCGUGACCGAGAGGCUCAGCCGGUUCUGCCGGUGUAUUCCCCUCGGUCGGGUCAACAUCAGUUUUGUCCGGUGGAUAAGGACGGUAGGAAGGUGGCACCCUCGGGUGUGUUAUAGCCUGCCGUCGCAUACAUCGGGUGAGACUGAGGAACGCAGCUCG
rnacentral:rRNA from 1 species